rnacentral:rRNA from 1 species
UACUCCUACGGGAGGCAGCAGUAGGGAAUCUUCGGCAAUGGACGAAAGUCUGACCGAGCAACGCCGCGUGAGUGAAGAAGGUUUUCGGAUCGUAAAACUCUGUUGGUAGAGAAGAACGUUGGUGAGAGUGGAAAGCUCAUCAAGUGACGGUAACUACCCAGAAAGGGACGGCUAACUACGUGCCAGCAGCCGCGGUAAAUGA